rnacentral:rRNA from 1 species
UACGUAGGGUGCGAGCGUUAAUCGGAAUUACUGGGCGUAAAGAGCUCGUAGGCGGCUUGUCGCGUCGGAUGUGAAAGCCCGGGGCUUAACUCCGGGUCUGCAUUCGAUACGGGCGGGCUAGAGUUCGGUAGGGGAGAUCGGAAUUCCUGGUGUAGCGGUGAAAUGCGCAGAUAUCAGGAGGAACACCGGUGGCGAAGGCGGAUCUCUGGGCCGAUACUGACGCUGAGGAGCGAAAGCGUGGGGAGCGAACAGG